rnacentral:rRNA from 1 species
CAUGGCCGUCGUCAGUUCGUACUGUGAAGCAUCCUGUUAAGUCAGGCACGAGCGAGACCCACGUCCACAGUUGCCAGCAUACCCUCCGGGGUGAUGGGUACACUGUGGAGACCGCCGCUGCUAAAGCGGAGGAAGGAGUGGGCAACGGUAGGUCAGUAUGCCCCGAAUCUCCCGGGCUACACGCGGGCUACAAUGGUUGGUACAAUGGGCAUCUACCCCGAAAGGGGAAGGAAAUCUCUUAAAGCCAAUCGUAGUUCGGAUUGAGGGCUGCAACUCGCCCUCAUGAAGCUGGAAUCCGUAGUAAUCGCGUUUCAACAGAACGCGGUGAAUACGUCCCUGCUCCUU